rnacentral:rRNA from 1 species
GAUCCGCCGAUGGAAAUUAUAUUGCCUUGGUGGGGAGCUUCCCGGAAACGAAAGUCUUCCGGUUCCGGGGGAAGUAUGGUUGCAAAGCUGAAACUUAAAGGAAUUGACGGAAGGGCACCACCAGGAGUGGAGCCUGCGGCUUAAUUUGACUCAACACGGGGAAACUCACCCGGCCCGGACACU